rnacentral:lncRNA from 1 species
AAAAAAGUUAAAUGUUUUAGGGAUAAUUGGUUGUUCUUACUUCGUAAUGGUUGGUUGGUAAGCACAAUAUUAUAAGAAAUUUUCUUUUUGACGAGAUGAUAACAUUGAUAAAUGAUACAGUAAGUACUACUUGAAUUCAAUGAUGGUGUAUGAUCUGUAGUUCUGUACAUCUUCAAUAAGAUUCAAAAUACAAUACAUGUUGGAGAUUUUUUGUUAUCUACGUCACAAGAUUGCAGGUAUUUGUUGGACUCAGUUCUGUUUGCACAUAACCAUCCCUAGAUUUCUCUUAAGAGAAAGAACCAAUUUCUGAUGGCAGACUUACCAUGGUGUUAAGAGAUUUUAAUUUUCAAGUGUGUGUCUUCAUCUUUCAUGUCUUCCGAAUUUCAAGUUCCGAAAUAAUUCCAGAAAUUUGCAAUCCAUGAUAGAGGAAAAACAUCAUCAGAUUAAAGACAUAUCUAAGAGGUAUUUGAAAGUUGAAAGCUGCAAAGUAGGAUCCAAGCUUGAUGGUUCAAAUAUAUUCCUGCUUCAAACUGAUUCUGCAUAGUUGUUUUUUCCCAAUUAUCAACAUUAAAAACUUCACAAAUAAUAAAGGAUACUACUAACUGUGUUAAGAAUUCAAAGAUAAAGGAGGAAGAAGGAAGGAGGUAGGAGAAGAAUACA